CAAUAGCGUAUACUAAAGUUGUUGCGAUUAAAAAGCUCGUAGUUGGAUCUCAGGCAUGGGCGCACGGUCCGCCUCGCGGCGGUCACUGUGUGUUUUGUUUCCCAUCCUACGCUUCCCGGUUAUCAGCCCAUGGUGCUCUUCACUGAGCGUUUUGGGUGGCCGGAACGUUUACUUUGAAGAAAUUAGAGUGUUCAAAGCAGGCACGUCGCCUGAAUAAUGGUGCAUGGAAUAAUGGAAUGGGACCUCGGUUCUAUUUUGCUGGUUUUCGGAACACGAGGUAAUGAUUAAGAGGGACAGACGGGGGCAUCCGUAUUGCGGUGUUAGAGGUGAAAUUCUUGGAUCAUCGCAAGACGAACAACUGCGAAAGCAUUUGCCAAGCAUGUUUUCAUUAG
rnacentral:rRNA from 1 species